GUAAGUUUGUUAAUUUUCAUUGUGUCCCAUUAUGGGUGAAUGCAAGUAAUUCUAUGCUAGCCAGAACUCUAAGCUGAAUAGUAUAUUAUAAAUGUAAAUACAAUUGCUUGAUUGGUGAUGUAUAUUGAGCAAGUGAGGAAAAUCUGUAUUAUUCAUCAUGAAGCAUCAGUAGAGUGUAAACAGAACAAAAACUUUAAAGUGAGACUCCUAAACGGUGUCGAUGAGUGCAGCAACAGCUGAUUCUCUUUGAAACUGCUGGAUGAGCACCACCGCAAGGAAGCUUGCAAAUUAAGUUCCUUGACCUUCCUUUGUUUACUCACUUCCCUCAAAUCCUAACAUUCCAAUAAAGGAUUUUCAUAAGAAAAUCUAAUUCCUCCUAGUCUCUUGCCUGUUUCAGCUAUAUUACACAUGAUUUUGUAAUUUAGAUUAAAUCAAGCUUUUAUGGACUGAGCCUAACUUAGCCAAGCUCAACCAAAUGUUAAUUGGACCCCAUUUUCUUGACAAAACUCAAUCCCAUCAAUAGGCUCACAUAAAGCUCAGCCAAAAUUUUCAGGCUGAACAAAUCAAGUUUUGGAUUAGCUCAACCCUAUUAACAGUCCUAAAAGAACCGACCAGGCAAGAAAACAUGUAUUUGAUAGUACAUUAUGAUCUUUGUGUACACCCUUUACCUUUGACCUUUCUUCAUUAUUGGUUAUAUACCUAUGUUACUUCAUGUUUACACUGCUUCAAACAGAUAUCAAGUCAAGGUGAUUGAAUGGCAGACUUGUUCACUAGAUAGCAUCUCAAUUUGUUGAACUUGUGAAUGUGUACUUUAAUUAUGUUCGUAAGUCCAACCUUUGUUGGUGCAGAAAGAGAAGGAAGUUUUAGCUCUUCUAUCCCGUCUAGAUCUGCAAAAUGUUCAUUUCACAGAUUCUCCUCCAGGGGAUGCCAACCAAUCAGUCCAUCUUGUUGCCAGUGAGGGACUAGAGGCAUAUCUUCCCCUUGCUGAUAUGGUUGAUAUAUCAGGUGAAGUUGACCGCCUUUCCAAGCGCCUUUCCAAGAUGCAAAGAGAGUAUGAAGGGCUUGUAGCUCGCCUCAAUUCUCCAAAAUUUGUAGAGAAAGCUCCUGAGGAUGUUGUUUGUGGGGUUCGAGAAAAAGCUGCAGAAGCAGAAGAGAAGAUAAACCUCACGAAGAACCGUUUGUCUUUCCUCAAAUCUUCAGUCUCGGUAUCUCAAUAGCAUUUAAUAGUGCUGGGCUGCAUUUUGUUCUAAAAGUAUUGAACAAAUUCCUUUGAGUCUCUCAUUGUGGAAUCCAUACAUUCCACUCAAUAACAAUGGCGAUCAUUAUCUUUGUGGCUACUAAUGACCAUUUGGAGAAAAUGCAGGAGACCAGGGCAUUCCUAUAUUAAUGAAAGAGUUGCAUCAUAAAGAAAAUUAGCAUGCCUCUGAUUCCUGUCAUGCCAUGUACAGUUUUAAUCGGCAGCAUUUUUCUUGUAAUCUUUGUCUUCCUUUAUUGUGCAACUUUGUAUACCAGUUUAUAAUAACAGUAGUUAAGAGGCAGCCAAGUCGGAUGUACAUGCUAGUUGGUGGGGUCAAUUCACCCCACUCAUGACUCAACUUAAACAAAAAAAAAACAAAACUCCUUAAUAUAUAUUGAAUUACCCAUGUUUGGCCG
rnacentral:misc_RNA from 1 species